rnacentral:rRNA from 1 species
GAUGAACGCUAGCGGGAGGCUUAAUACAUGCAAGUCGCACGGCAGCAUUGAUAUAGUAAUAUAUUAGAUGGCGAGUGGCGCACGGGUGAGUAACGCGUACACAACCUACCCUUAAGAGGGGGGAUAACUCAGAGAAAUUUGGGAUAAUACCCCAUAAUAUCGGAGAUAUGCAUAUAUUUUUGAUUAAAGUUACGGCGCUUAAGGAUGGGUGUGCGUUAGAUUAGGUAGUUGGUGAGGUAAUGGCUCACCAAGCCGACGAUCUAUAAGGGGCUGAGAGCGUGGUCCCUCACACGGGUACUGAGACACGGACCCGACUCCUACGGGAGCAGCAGUAAGGAUAUUGGACAAUGCCCGCAAGGGUGAUCCAGCCAUCCCGCGUGCAGGAGACUGCCCU